GUUGGGGAAUGCCGCACUAGGCAGCGAUGCGUUCGGUGUGCAGUAUAUGUUCAACUCUUCGUUGCUUUAACGUGCGGUGGUACACAUGGAAGUACCCACACACAUUCCAACUAGCUAGCUUUUAUCUAGUUGAAAAGUGAAACAUUGACAGUGGUGAUGAGAGUGACACCAAAGAGGAAGUCGUCACUGAAGCCCACUCUGAGACCAACACGUCUGAUGCGGAGUCUGAGUCCUAGAGUUCAGAGUUCAGACCUAAGCAGCACAGCAUGGUGACCCUAUAUAACCAAUACACUCUGCUUCAUCAUGUAGGAUUUCAUAGUGGUCAUUAUUGUGUUCUGGUGAAUAGCAAAAUGUCUGUUAGAAUGUCCAUGAUGCACGCAGAAUGUAGAUAUAGUGUUUCCUUCUGUGUGAUUUGAAUAGUUUAUGCAAGAAGCCCAAUAUCAUUUGGUGACUGGCUUUGUCAAUAUUUAAGUGUGUGUGUGUGGAUGGGGGCAUGUGUUUUCAAGAAUUACUCAAGUUUAACGGAGAUGUCUGUCCUGAGGUUGCACAGGUGUUCGCAGCUACCACGCAGGUUACAGCUCCAGUAACACUGCUUUGCCGUGUGUCAGUUGGAACUGAUGUCACCACCAACACCUCUCGUCUGUCACUUUAUUCAUGAGUUUGUUUUCAUAGGCACCCUGAAGCAUCCUUAGCCCAGCUUACGGCCAUGGCUGUUUCACUUUGCCUCUUUGUGGUCCAGACCGAGAAACGCAACCUGAAAGAGGAGACUGGUAGCUACUCUCAACCGCCAGCAUCUCACCCCUGGGUCCUAUGAGAAACCUGAGACAGAAGCUGCUACAUCAAGUUGGGUAGUGAAACUUUUAUGAGGAUUCCACACUUGUCUGCACUAUGCUCUGUUUUACUCAGUGCCCAAAUAUGUGUUGAAACACAGGAGGUUAGAAAAUACUCUUCCUUACACCUACUCACAGGAAACCAACAGACAUGAAUGACUUUCCCUCUCCCUUUAUGUUUCUAUCAUAACAGUCACUUUGGCUUUGGAAACUCAAAAGAUGAUAACAUAUAUUUAUUUGUAUUGAUUUAUUUUCACCAAAGAAAACAAGUAAUAGACAGCAAUACAGAUAAAAACAAUGCAAUCUAAAAGCAAUAUGCAGGUGUGGUUGGAAGCCUGAAAUGAAAACCACACAUGGUAUCAACAAUAUCAAGUUGUCAAACUAUUGAUUGUUGCUGUAACCUGGAACACAGCCUGAUUAAAAACAUAAAAUCUUUAAAUGAAUUAGAUCAAAACUAUCACUACUGCCUCUUCGUUUUGAUGUGUCCAUAAACAAGUCCUAGAAUACCGGGAACCUUUGAUGCAGUGUUCUUGCGGUAUACUGU